rnacentral:rRNA from 1 species
UACGUAGGGGGCUAGCGUUGUCCGGAAUCAUUGGGCGUAAAGCGCGCGUAGGCGGCCCGGUAAGUCCGCUGUGAAAGUCAAAGGCUCAACCUUUGAAUGUCAGCGGAUACUGCCGGGCUAGAGUCCGGAAGAGGCGAGUGGAAUUCCUGGUGUAGCGGUGGAAUGCGCAGAUAUCAGGAGGAACACCAGUGGCGAAGGCGACUUUCUGGCCUGUUCUUGACGCUGAGGCGCGAAAGCUAGGGGAGCAAACGGG